GGGAGCAUUGCAUUACAAUCUGGAGUUGGUAUAGUUUCUUCCAGAUUAAGUCAAUCCUUCAAUAGAGUGUUCUUGUUCAAACCCAAUGUAAGAAUCCGAUACUAGAAUGAGCUUUAUCCCCUGGAAAUUGGUCAGAGUGGAUGGCAAAUCCAUGUGUGUCUGCAAACGACCAGAGAAAGACACUCUCUUCAGAGCAUACAGUUCACUUGCGGAAGUAUUACAAAGGACUAACCACCAAGCUUCAUCUUUUACCUUUGGAUAUCGUGGGAUAAAAGCUUUUGCUGUUCUUCGCUGAGUAUUUGCAUCUUCCAAUCUAAUGUUCAAGGUUAAAAUCUUUCCACCAUUAGAUUCCUUUGGCUGAAUUUUAAGUCGAACUUGAAUCCGAGGGAAAUGCCGCAUAUCCUGAUACAGUUUCGAGGCAGCUGAACUUCCAGUGAUAGCCCGUAAUGAUUCUGAAGGGCAAUCCAACAGCUGCUGGAUACUAGCAAUUCCUUUUUUUUGCAAUGAGUUGAGUAGAUCAUCAGUCAUGCAUGGUAACAUCCAAAGAGGAGAGUCUCUAUCAAACCACAAGCCCUGCA
rnacentral:misc_RNA from 1 species